rnacentral:rRNA from 1 species
CCUACGGGGCGCAGCAGUGGGGAAUAUUGCACAAUGGGGGAAACCCUGAUGCAGCAACGCCGCGUGAAGGAAGACGGUUUUCGGAUUGUAAACUUCUGUUCUUAGUGAAGAAUAAUGACGGUAGCUAAGGAGCAAGCCACGGCUAACUACGUGCCAGCAGCCGCGGUAAUACGUAGGAUGCGAGCGUUAUCCGGAUUUAUUGGGUUUAAAGGGUGCGCAGGCGGAAGAUCAAGUCAGCGGUAAAAUUGAGAGGCUCAACCUCUUCGAGCCGUUGAAACUGGUUUUCUUGAGUGAGCGAGAAGUAU